AAGAAAGAAAUAGGCGAAUUCUUCUGAUAUUGUAAAGAAGAAAUCGACAAGAGCAAGUAAGGUUAGCGAUGUGUGGGGAAAAUGACAAAUGAUUGUCCACGGUUACCCCAAGAUUGCGGGCGGUGGCUGUAGGAGUGAUUUGGUUGUUGUCCAGGGAUAUCACAAGGUCUUGACCUGGGGAUAAGUCACAAAGGACUCAUUUAGUCAUUUGAACAUUCCAACUUCUUUGCCAGCGUUAUCUACACCAUGUUUUCUCUAUCUGUCGCAGACCAGAUGACUUCACCCUUUCAUUCCAUGUCGGCUACAAUCAGUUUCUAUCACAGGAAAAUGAGUUGCUCCCCAGUUGGAACCUGCAUGAGUGUUUGUCACCGAAGGACAAUAAACAAGGAGUCACACUGGGUAAGAACAAAAUAACCACAGUCUAUUUUUAACUUCUGCAGAAGGACCAGUGGCAUACAGCCCACAUUUGCCAGGUGAAGAAUGGUGAUUUACUGUAAUUCUCCCAGCCAUUCCAACUUCUUUGCCAGCGUAAUCUACACUGUGUUUUCUCUAUCUGUCGCAGACCAGAUGACUUCACCCUUUCAUUCCAUGUCGGCUACAAUCAGAAGGCCGUCCAUCCGUGAAAGACAAAUCUCAGCCGAGGUGGCUCAGAGCCAUGAGUGCGACGUCUGAUCCUUGAAAAUCACAGACCGUUGAUUCACCAACUUCCGGAAGGCACGCAUUUUUCUGUGGGAGCUGUACAUAAUCAUUCAGGAACACCUGCAUUUACCGAGAGUGUUCUUAGCGAUUGUUUGGCGAAGAUGUUUGCUCAGUUAAUCGCCACUAUUAUUUUAUAAUGCUUAUUUUAUCAACACACGAGUUACACAUUCACAGCUUAUGGAGUAAUCCGUAACAAACACACAACUAUAUCCCAUGCCAUUUCAUUUUAUUAUUUCUUGCUAGUGCUCAAAUCUAAUCCAAUGCUAUUCUAAUAUAAUUUUCUGUCUAAACUGGAUAAAGUCAAGCCCUUUUAACAAGAACAGCAACAAAAAGAAACGGAAAAGGUGAAAAGGUAAUACACGCUUGUAUUUUAAGUUGGCUUGAUCAUUUUAAUGGCCUUUAUGUUGGUGCUGGUGUUAAAAAAUAAUCCUAAAUAAUUCGGCAUCACCGUAUAUUUCUAA